GUGGGACCUACGGGACUAAGUUUGGCAGCCCUGAGGGAAGUUUUCCAGCUCCAUAUCCCGAUGGAUAUGGUGUUCAUAUGGGAGGUGCUUCAUGGGGACAUCAUGAGAAGGCUCGCAUGAAUCGUCGUUGAGAUUGUAGGAUCGCUGUUGGAGAUGAAGAACAGCUUCCUCCAUUACUCUGCUUUGUGUUGGGGGAAUGGCUGAAACAACUUAGCAAGUCCUUCUAUGUUCACAUCACUGGUCAUUUAUCUGGAUAUAUUAUUGGACGCUUGGAAUCUUGUCAAUGCUGGUGAUCUAGAAGAGGAAAAAGAAAUGCCUGUCUUUGACGCUAAUGUGGGAGAUAGAUCUCUGGGAAGACCAAAAGGCUUUUGAUUUCUUUUUUUGCCGGGUUAGCAAAAUCUGAAGAUGCUUAUUCUGGGAUGAAGAUUUGUCAACACCCUUAGAAGGGUUUGGUUGCUUUGCCUGGUGGUGAGGGAGUUGUGUAGACAAAAUAACAUGGGAAGAUCACAUGGGAAUUUAUUGUUUCAAGGAGCGUAUUCCGACCAUGUUUGUUUGGGGAUGAAGAUUCUUCGGCCAUAUAAUUCAAAGCAUAUUUUGCCUGAGUGGGGAAUGGUGAGGAAUCCUUGGUAAAGAGUAAAUUGAGGAAAAACGUAAAGUUCACUGUUUGCACGGGGAAAAAAUCCAAUGGUUACUUGUUGGGGGAUGAAGAUUGGUCCGUCAUUUGGCGUUGGUUUCAUAUCCUGUUUAAUAGUGCUAUGCGAUUAUCAGAAGUGAAACACUACAAAGGAGUGUGCUCCUAUUGUGAAACAGACAAAUUAUACUUUUU